rnacentral:tRNA from 1 species
CAUUAGAUGACUGAAAGUAAGUUUUGGUCUCUUAAACCACUAUAUAGUAUAUUAACAAAUACUUCUAAUG